AUCUCCAUGACCAUAAUGCCUCACCUUACAUUCACAGACCCAGUAAACUUGUAGAUUUCCAACAGAAGUGCCAACUGGUCAUCCUUAGUACAGCGAGAUAUACCUAAGCAUCCUUAGUAAGUGAUUUGUCUUUUGAAUGAAACUCCAUGACCAUAAUCGUCUCACCUUAUAAUAUUUAUUGGAAGGUAUCCUUAUUUAUUUAUAUCGCGUGCAUGGAAGUUUGUGGACUUUUUACUUAAAACGUUUUACUUAUAAAACUCUUUAUUAAGCUAUGACUAAAUAUAUAGCGCUUUAGAUAUUUUAAUCAUAACAGGGAGUCCUAGAUUGAUAGACUCAUACUAAAUAUUAGAGCGUCUAAUAAAAACUUUGUGUUUGACAGAUGACGAUAUUAACAAGAAAAGCUACGACGACCUCUAUGGAAGUUGCCCUAGUUCCCUUCAAGCCAGAGGCCCUGAUGGUGUAUGCCUGACUUGUAUUCCAGGACCUCCAGGACCGAAAGGUCCUCGUGGAUUUAGGGGUUUGGAUGGCUACCAGGGUAUAAAUGGGAUUCAAGGCUUUCCAGGUUUUCCGGGUCCUCCAGGUAUACCAGGUUUUCCGGGUAUGAAAGGGGAGAAGGGGAUUAGAGGACUCCCUGGAAGAAUAUCCAGGAUCUCCGGGAACUAAAAGAGUGUACAGAAUCGUUGGAAGACCUGGUCCGACAGGACGAAGUCUCUACAGCUAGUAAUUUCAGUAGGAUCAGAGCCUUAGAAAAUGUGAUAUCAUCAAAUCAUUAAAGAUCUUACCACACAAAA